rnacentral:lncRNA from 10 species
GUGCGUGCCGCUAAGUUGUGCGUUCCAGGGUGCACUCGCCGGCGAGGCUGCACGGCGCCGGUUUCAUUGCUAAAAUCCGACGGACUUGUUGCAGAACUCGUUUUUUUUGUCGGGAAAGGGCUUCCCCGUGUAACUUUACAGCAGUUAUCGUAGAUAAGACUUGCAAAUUACAGAUGUGGACGGUGAGGGAACGGGAAUUUCACUGAAAGCGCCUGAGAACCAGUAAGAGACCUGCAACAGCUUUGUGCUCCACUGGCGAAUGCUUCCUCCCCUAAUACACAUUAUGUGUGCUUGGAGACACAAGGAGUAAGAUACAGCCCCUCAAGGGACUCGUCAUAGGGAGAGGACACAGCUUUGGGAAUAAAGGGGCCACAAAGGAGGAGAGAGGAGUUUGCUGAAACUUCCCAAGCUCCCAUUCCAGCAGUUCCUGAAGGAUUCAUUUCUCUCUGAGGAUCUCAUGAGGUGGCUUAGCAGCUAGAAUCUCUUCCUUAACAGUGGGAAGAACAACUCCUGGAAAUUUAGGUCGACUUUGACUGGAUUUAAAAGAAAGCUGUACAAUUCCACUUCUGUAUAUACAACCAAAGGAAAUGAGAUGUGCAUACCCAUGUUCAAUGAAGCAUUAUUCACAAUAGCCAAAAUGUGGAACCAAUCCUUAAACAAAAGGAAAACAGAAAAUCUGCUCAAGGCACCUGAGAAAAUCACAACCCACACUUGCGAACCCCUAGGAGACCUAAAGCUGUGGUUUUACAAAUAAACAGAUAAGUAACAUUCCUACUCUUUCCUAUAGGUACUCAAUCUUCUUAACAACUCCCAUCCCACACAGGUUUGCAUCCCCAGCAGAUACAUAUGGCUAUGUGGUCACCCAUUCGAUCAGCCUAUAAAAGACUUGUCUUAUUUGAUAUUGUGAAACCCAUGGUUAUCAGUGUAUAUGAAAAUGUUUGGUUCAGGGGUCAAUGUACAAUAUGACAAGCAAAGUCCUCUAAUACACAGUUAUAUAAAAUCACUCACCUGAGAGCCAAGUGGACAAUUGGCCUUAUAUUGGCUGGAGUUGGAGCCCCAGAGGGAAAAUUUGCCUAUUAUUAGGCAACUCUUCAAAACUUUACUUAUUCGUUUCUAAACACUGUCUCAUAAAAUGGGGGAUGCUUUAGAUGAAUUAAGAUUAGCACUAGAUUACUUAUUCGUUGAAAAUUAGCACUAGAUUUCUUAUUGGUUGAACAAGGAGGAGUGUGCACCAUAAUCAAUAUAACCUGCUGCAGUUAUGUAAACACCUCAGGUCACAUAGAAGAAGAUAUACAGAAAAUACAUGAACAAGCUGUGUGGUUGCGUAAAUAUAACCAAGGCACCAAUCCCAACUGUAUCUGGUCAGCCAUUAGAAGCACCCUCCUGAGUCUCACUUGGUUGUUGCCCUUCCUAGGAACUUUGAUAGUUGUCUUAUUAUUAAUCUUUGGCCCUUGCUUGUUUAAAUUCUUGGUAAAGUUUGUGUUUUUUAGAUUACAACAAUUCCACAUAAAGAUGAUACUGACACAAAGCUUCCAAUCCAUCCCGUCUUCUGAACCGGGAAAUAAAGACACCCUGCCUUUAGGUGUCUUUAGAUCUAGAUCAGGCAUCUAGAGAUUUUUACUCCUCCAAUACUUGGCAGGGUCUAUGCCCGUAGACUCAUCAGGAUACCAUGUAAAUGAGGACCUCCCUUGGUACCCCAGAGGCCAACUGUAGACCCUUAUGAGAAAAUCCUGUCCCCAAAAUGAACAUCCACUGUCAGCAGGAAGAAGUUACAGAAGACCAGCCUUUGCCCUUACGAUUAAGGGUCCUCUUGUAAGUAGAGAGGGGAAUGUUAGGAAAGCAGGAGCCUAGGUGAUCCAGAGUGACACCAUUUUAAAAUAAACUCCACCUGAAAACUAGCAAGGCAUCUGCACACAUCUGUUUAGCAAGUAUAUACUUCUGUAACUGGAAUAAAAAGCGUUAUUUUAGAAUAUGCCUAUAGUUUGUAAUAAUUAGCCGAGGGAAAAAAAGUUCACAUUGGUGUAGGAAAAGUGCCCUAAUGGUCAUGGGUAAUAAUGGGACCGUGGUUCUGGUCAGUGAUUUGAUGGAAGGGGUGUAGAUAAUAUAUUGUUGUAAAUAAUAAAAAUAAAAAAUUGUUGUAAGUAAUAAAAAUAAAAUAAUAUUGUUGUAAGUAAUAAAGUAGGAGAAAUAUUUGGUCUUUUGCUUUUGGGUUAGUGCAACAGUAGUACCAUUACUUGGAGGAGAAGUUAGAGAAGGACAAGAAUAGGCUUGAAUAAGAUGAGUGAGAAGAGAGAAAAAUUCCGUAAGUGGAGAUGGCCAGGGAACACCAGGGCAGCAGAAUCUAACUCUGAAUUUAAUGCUGUUGUCUGUUCAUAUUGCACUGCGCUGUAAUCUCCCUAUCUUUCCUAAACCAUUGGCAAAGUCUGCUAUCCACUGGGGCCUUGGGUCGGUGGUGCUUUGGGAAAUACCAGAAGAGGGAAAGUACGGCAAAUGUGCAGUGUCACAGAUGAUAGGAGGAAAGCUGGCCAGUGGGAUGAUUAAAACAAUUUCGGUGGGAGUGGGAAUUCAGACCAUGUAAAUGGUCUGAAUUAAGAAAAUUUCAAGAAACAAAAAAUGUUUCUAAUGAGCCAAAGUGAAAGCUCUUCAUGAUUUCUUUAUAGAGGCUCUCUAGUGCUUGUCCUAAUUUCCUGAAAUCUCAUGGGUAUCUUACUCUCCUGGUGCCCGCCUCAAACAUUCACUGUAGCAAUUAUAUGAGCAGCCUAGAGAAUCCCAAUCCCAGUGGUCUUGCUCCCUGGAUCUACUUUCUCUUAAAAAUCAUUCCCCUAAGUUUCCGUCACUUGGUUGAAGUUUAGUAGAUAUCUCCACAUCUCCAGCUAGAACAGCACCAGAAUUUCAGGACUAGGGCAAUAGAGUCUGAUAUUAAAUUCUAUUUCUAUCUAUCUAUCUAUCAUCUAUCUAUCUAUCUAUCUAUCUAUCUAUCUAUCUAUCUAUCUAUCUACAGAACAAUUUGUGGGAUAGUAGCUUUGGGGUCCCAGAUCUAGGAUGGGCCUGGUCCUCCAUGCUGGUUCUCCUGGGUGAUAUUUCUGUUAGUUUGAACAGUAAUCACACUUUUAUUACUGUUUCAUCUUUUUUUUUUCACUCUUAGACUGAUUUUAUCAUGUGUAUAAAACAUACACACACCUACAUCUCAAGGAUAAACAUUAAUCCUUGAAAAAUAUGUGGUCUAAAACUAUAUUGAGGAGAGAAAGAUAGGACACUUUAAUUGCCACAUGAUUAACACGAGGUCACCACACAGCUUUCACAAAUCUACAAGUCAUUCUAUUUAGGCUGAGUCAAGUUCUCCCUUGGGCCAGCCAGAGCACAAAUAAUGGAGCAAUGUGACUCUUCAAUGACAGAUCUCUGAUUUCCAGAAAAGAGACUUUGAAAUACCCAAUUCUAGUAAAUAUGCAAUUAAAUUUCCAGCUAAAUGACCUUUGCUCCUGUAGUCUUCAUCUUGGGGAAGGGAAAGAAGUCUUAUUCUGUUUAAUAGUUUGAUUUUUAUAAUAGGGUUUGUCUCUGUUAUAAAUCUUGUUUGAUAUUUAAAAUGUUAGCUAAGAGAAAACUUCUGUUUGUUUUUAUUUAGUGGGAAGAAACUAACCCUCAUUGAGUGCCUAGUUAACAUCAGGCACUUUGUACACAUAAUCAAUUGAAUCUUGACCACAACCCUGUGAGAUCCAUGGAUGAUUCUGGGUUUAGUUCUUUGUGAGACUGCCAGAAACUCCCAGAGGCUGGAUCUAUGCAUAAAGAGAGGCCAUUGGAGAGAAUGUCUACUGAAUUGCUGAAGACAAUUGCUACCGAGAAUAGAUCGUAACUUAGGAAGAAACAAUUCAGUACCAAAAGAGUAAUUGGAGCCCUUCUGGAAAACACUAGUGAAAAAUGAGAAGAUUAAAUAAGCCAUGGGAAGAUUUUUUAAAAUGACAUGAAACUCCAAGGGUAAAAAGUAGGCAUUUCCACCUUUCCCUGCUUCAUCCAUACCUCCAAAAACAGAACCCUUCAAAGAACGUCCUGAGAAGAACAACUGGCCACUGAUUUUGAGUUGAACACUGGCAGGCAACACCCCAACAACCACACAGACCCCAUAGCUCUCAUUGCAGGAGGCGAGGGCAGCUGCCUGUUAGAAAGUGAUGCAAUACAGUAUAGGGGUUAAAAGAUGUAUGUGAGGAUUGAGCCUACAUCUUAAUUUCAGCUUAACUCCUAAAUGGUCUAUGACUUUCUUUUCUGAUUCUCCCUAUUCUCAUUUGAAGUAACAUUUAUCUUGUAAGGAUGCUAUGAAACACAUAUAAGACGUUGUAUGUUGCUUAGUAUAGUACCUGGCACUUUAGGACUCAAUAAAUGGAAAUAACAAAAAUGAAAAUAGUAAAAACAUCCACAGUAGUGAUAAUAAUAAAAAUAAUUUUUAUAAAAAUUAUUACUGAUGCAGGUGGCUGGUAAGAAUUGACAUUUUUCUUUUAGACAUCUAAGAAGACAGAUAUUUAUAUAAUAAGAUGAUAGCAAAGUGAGAAACAGAUACCGUUACAUUCGUUAUGUUCAAAGGCUAUUUCUCAGAGUAAGAGUGUGAGAAAGGUUUUGCUGUUUCUUCUUACAG